rnacentral:rRNA from 1 species
CCUACGGGUGGCAGCAGUCGAGAAUCAUUCACAAUGGGGGAAACCCUGAUGGUGCGACGCCGCGUGGGGGAAUGAAGGUCUUCGGAUUGUAAACCCCUGUCAUGUGGGAGCAAAUUAAAAAGAUAGUACCACAAGAGGAAGAGACGGCUAACUCUGUGCCAGCAGCCGCGGUAAUACAGAGGUCUCAAGCGGUGUUCGGAAUCACUGGGCGUAAAGCGUGCGUAGGCUGUUUCGUAAGUCGUGUGUGAAAGGCGCGGGCUCAACCCGCGGACGGCACAUGAUACUGCGAGACUAGAGUAAUGGAGGGGGAACCGGAAUGCUCGGUGUAGCAGUGAAAUGCGUAGAUAUCGAGAGGAACACUCGUGGCGAAGGCGGGUGACUGGACAUUAACUGACGCUGAGGCACGAAGGCCAGGGGAGCGAAAGGGAUUAGAUACCCCAGUAGUC